ensembl:snoRNA
AAAAUGUGGCAUACUGCAGGCACAAGGUGCGACCUUGCAUUCUGAACCACUUUCAAGUGUUUUCCUCUGUGGUUUAGCUUUACUCCCAGGACUAUCUGUUGGGUCAAUGGGAAGGAACUACUAGGCAAUU